rnacentral:rRNA from 1 species
GGCGCUCGAAGCGCGUCGUGGUAUUUCGCGUAUUGUAAUUUCAACACGAGCGGGGUCAAAUCCUUUGCAGACGACUUAGCUGUGCGAAACGGUCCUGUAAGCAGUAGAGUAGCCUUGUUGUUACGAUCUGCUGAGGGUAAGCCGUCCUUCGCCUCGAUUUCCCCAAUGGGUUCUCCGGAUUUCUGGAGACUUGUAGGGGUUGUGGGAUUUUUGAUGUGUCGUCUCCGGACGGGCGGUGCAGGGUAGUCGAGUUAGACUUGGUGGAAUUCCGUCGAUAGGAGUUCCGUCGAGUCUGGUCGGCUGUGUGUUGGACGGUGCAGGGUAGGCUGCUUGGACAUGGUCGGUUCGAGGAUCGAAUCGAGGGCCGGCCCGUCGAUGAUGUGUGAUGUAUGCGGUCUAGGGUAGGCUGGUUUGUCUUGGUUCAAUUUGAUGUCGGCUCCCGUGCAGGCCAGAGUGAGGGGGGUCCAGGGUAGGUACAGGGUAGGCAGCUUAGAUUUGGUCGAUCUGGAGGUCGACUCUCCGGCUGGCGGAUCUGACACUGUCGAAACGAGAUGCGAGCGGUGUAGGGUAGGCUAGUUUCGUCCUCGCCAGGUUGCGAUUUGGACGAGAUAUGUGGUUUAGG